rnacentral:tRNA from 1 species
GGCUUUAUAGUCAAUUUAUGAUAUUAGACUGCAAUUCUAAAGGUGUAAUUUUACUAAGGCUU